CCUACGGGGUGCAGCAGUGGGGAAUAUUGCACAAUGGGGGAAACCCUGAUGCAGCGACGCCGCGUGAGUGAAGAAGUAUUUCGGGAUGUAAAGCUCUAUCAGCAGGGAAGAAAAAAGACGGUACCUGACUAAGAAGCACCGGCUAACUACGUACCAGCAGCCGCGGUAAUACGUAGGGGGCAAGCGUUAUCAGGAUAUACUGGGUGUAAAGGGAGCGUCGACGGCUGUGCAAUUCUGAAGUGAAAGCCCAGGGCUCAACCCUGGUAGUGCUUUGGAAACUGUGGAGCUAGAGUGCUUGAGAGGUAAGUGGAAGUCCUAGUGUAGCGGUGAAAUGCGUAGAUAUUAGGAGGAACACCAGUGGCGAAGGCGGCUUACUGGACAGUAACUGACGUUGAGGCUCGAAAGCGUGGGGAGCAAACAGGAUUAGAUACCCGAGUAGUC
rnacentral:rRNA from 1 species